GACGUAGGGCGCGAGCGUUGUCCGGAUUUAUUGGGCGUAAAGAGCUCGUAGGCGGCUUGUCGCGUCGACUGUGAAAACCCGUGGCUCAACCAUGUGGUCUGCAGUCGAUACGGGCAGGCUAGAAUUCGGUAGGGGAGACUGGAAUUCCUGGUGUAGCGGUGAAAUGCGCAGAUAUCAGGAGGAACACCGGUGGCGAAGGCGGAUCUCUGGGCCUUACCUGACGCUCAGGUGCGAAAGCUAGGGGAGCGAACAGG
rnacentral:rRNA from 1 species